AUGCGUUGUUGGGUAGGGGAGCGUUCUGUAAGCCUGCGAAGGUGUGCUGUGAGGCAUGCUGGAGGUAUCAGAAGUGCGAAUGCUGACAUAAGUAACGAUAAAGCGGGUGAAAAGCCCGCUCGCCGGAAGACCAAGGGUUCCUGUCCAACGUUAAUCGGGGCAGGGUGAGUCGACCCCUAAGGCGAGGCCGAAAGGCGUAGUCGAUGGGAAACAGGUUAAUAUUCCUGUACUUGGUGUUACUGCGAAGGGGGGACGGAGAAGGCUAUGUUGGCCGGGCGACGGUUGUCCCGGUUUAAGCGUGUAGGCUGGUUUUCCAGGCAAAUCCGGAAAAUCAAGGCUGAGGCGUGAUGACGAGGCACUGCGGUGCUGAAGCAACAAAUGCCCUGCUUCCAGGAAAAGCCUCUAAGCAUCAGGUAACAUCAAAUCGUACCCCAAACCGACACAGGUGGUCAGGUAGAGAAUACCAAGGCGCUUGAGAGAACUCGGGUGAAGGAACUAGGCAAAAUGGUGCCGUAACUUCGGGAGAAGGCACGCUGAUAUGUAGGUGAAGUCCCUCGCGGAUGGAGCUGAAAUCAGUCGAAGAUACCAGCUGGCUGCAACUGUUUAUUAAAAACACAGCACUGUGCAAACACGAAAGUGGACGUAUACGGUGUGACGCCUGCCCGGUGCCGGAAGGUUAAUUGAUGGGGUUAGCGCAAGCGAAGCUCUUGAUCGAAGCCCCGGUAAACGGCGGCCGUAACUAUAACGGUCCUAAGGUAGCGAAAUUCCUUGUCGGGUAAGUUCCGACCUGCACGAAUGGCGUAAUGAUGGCCAGGCUGUCUCCACCCGAGACUCAGUGAAAUUGAACUCGCUGUGAAGAUGCAGUGUACCCGCGGCAAGACGGAAAGACCCCGUGAACCUUUACUAUAGCUUGACACUGAACAUUGAGCCUUGAUGUGUAGGAUAGGUGGGAGGCUUUGAAGUGUGGACGCCAGUCUGCAUGGAGCCGACCUUGAAAUACCACCCUUUAAUGUUUGAUGUUCUAACGUUGACCCGUAAUCCGGGUUGCGGACAGUGUCUGGUGGGUAGUUUGACUGGGGCGGUCUCCUCCUAAAGAGUAACGGAGGAGCACGAAGGUUGGCUAAUCCUGGUCGGACAUCAGGAGGUUAGUGCAAUGGCAUAAGCCAGCUUGACUGCGAGCGUGACGGCGCGAGCAGGUGCGAAAGCAGGUCAUAGUGAUCCGGUGGUUCUGAAUGGAAGGGCCAUCGCUCAACGGAUAAAAGGUACUCCGGGGAUAACAGGCUGAUACCGCCCAAGAGUUCAUAUCGACGGCGGUGUUUGGCACCUCGAUGUCGGCUCAUCACAUCCUGGGGCUGAAGUAGGUCCCAAGGGUAUGGCUGUUCGCCAUUUAAAGUGGUACGCGAGCUGGGUUUAGAACGUCGUGAGACAGUUCGGUCCCUAUCUGCCGUGGGCGCUGGAGAACUGAGGGGGGCUGCUCCUAGUACGAGAGGACCGGAGUGGACGCAUCACUGGUGUUCGGGUUGUCAUGCCAAUGGCACUGCCCGGUAGCUAAAUGCGGAAGAGAUAAGUGCUGAAAGCAUCUAAGCACGAAACUUGCCCCGAGAUGAGUUCUCCCUGACCCUUUAAGGGUCCUGAAGG
rnacentral:rRNA from 1 species